rnacentral:rRNA from 1 species
AUUGAACGCUGGCGGCAGGCCUAACACAUGCAAGUCGAACGAGUGGCGGACGGGUGAGUAAUGUCUGGGAAACUGCCUGAUGGAGGGGGCUAACUACUGGAAACGGUAGCUAAUACCGCAUACCAUCGGAUGUGCCCAGAUGGGAUGAGCUAGUCGGUGGGGUAAAGGCUCACCUAGGCGACGCUCCCUAGCUGGUCUGAGAGGAUGACCAGCCACACUGGAACUGAGACACGGCCCAGACGCCUACGGGAGGCAGCAGUGGGGAAUAUUGGACAAUGGGCGCAAGUCUGAUGAAGCCAUGCCGCGUGUAUGAAGAAGGCCUUCGGGUUGUAAAGUACUUUCAGCGGGGAGGCGGUACCCGAAGAAGAAGCACCGGCUAACUCCGUGCCAGCAGCCGCGGUAAUUC